GCCGAUAUAGCUCAGUUGUGAGCGUUAGACUGAAGAUCCCUAAGGUCCCUGGUUCAAUCCGGGUUUCGGCA